rnacentral:lncRNA from 1 species
CCGACCGACGUCCUAUUGGCCCUUGAAGUAACCUUUCCGGACCCAUGUGCCGAUGGUAUUUUUGUUUCGUCGACCGUCUGUUUGUUGUCCAUGUAUGAACCUUCCCCAACUGAUGGCCUGAUGGUGGCUUCUUUGCCGACCGACUUGCCGUCACCCCUAUCAUAAACAUUUCCCAAACAACAGUCUGAUUAUGUUUUGUUUUGCCAACCAACAAUUCAGCAGAGGCUGAUGUUAUAUAU